rnacentral:rRNA from 1 species
GACGUAGGAGGCGAGCGUUGUUCGGAUUCAUUGGGCGUAAAGGGUGCGUAGGCGGCGCGGUAAGUCGGGUGUGAAAUCUCGGAGCUUAACUCCGAAACUGCAUUCGAUACUGCCGUGCUUGAGGACUGGAGAGGAGACUGGAAUUUACGGUGUAGCGGUGAAAUGCGUAGAUAUCGUAAGGAAGACCAGUGGCGAAGGCGGGUCUCUGGACAGUUCCUGACGCUGAGGCACGAAGGCCAGGGGAGCAAACGGG